rnacentral:rRNA from 1 species
AGAUUGAACGCUGGCGGCAGGCCUAACACAUGCAAGUCGAGCGGUAGAGAGGUGCUUGCACCUCUUGAGAGCGGCGGACGGGUGAGUAAUGCCUAGGAAUCUGCCUAGUGGUGGGGGAUAACGUUCGGAAACGGACGCUAAUACCGCAUACGUCCUACGGGAGAAAGCGGGGGACCUUCGGGCCUCGCGCCAUUAGAUGAGCCUAGGUCGGAUUAGCUAGUUGGUGAGGUAAUGGCUCACCAAGGCGACGAUCCGUAACUGGUCUGAGAGGAUGAUCAGUCACACUGGAACUGAGACACGGUCCAGACUCCUACGGGAGCAGCAGGUGGGAUAUAGGACAAGUGGGCGAAAGCCUGACUCCAGCCAUCGCCGCGUGUGUGAAGAGGUUCUCGGAUUAGUAAAGC